UACGUAGGCAGCGAGCGUUGUUCGGAGUUUCUGGGCGUAAAGGGUGUGUAGGCGGUUCUUUAAGUUUGGUGUGAAAUCUCCCGGCUCAACCGGGAGGGUGCGCCGAAUACUGAGGGACUUCGAGUGCGGGAGAGGAAAGUGGAAUUCCUGGUGUAGCGGUGAAAUGCGUAGAUAUCAGGAGGAACACCGGUGGUGUAGACGGCUUUCUGGACCGUAACUGACGCUGAGACACGAAAGCGUGGGUAGCAAACAGG
rnacentral:rRNA from 1 species